UAGAUACUUUCUCCGUCCGAAAAUACUUGUCCUUGAAAUGGUUGUAUCUAUACUUAUUUUAGUUAUAGAUACAUCCAUUUUAUUCAUUUCGAGGACAAGUAUUUCCGGACGGAGGGAGUAGUGA
rfam:Triticum aestivum genome assembly, contig: Triticum_aestivum_CS42_TGACv1_scaffold_290279_4AL